AUGCGGGUACUCGCUUAUGGCAUACCCGCGGAUUAUACCGACAAGUAUCCUCGCAUUGGGCAAGAUACAACCACGGAGUCAGUCCGUAGGUUUGCCAAGUUGGUCAUUCGGUUGUACGGUGAGCAGUAUCUUCGGGCACCAAACCAGGAAGAUACAAAGAGAUUAAUGGAAAUGAAUGAAAAAAGGGGAUGGCCGGGGAUGCUAGGUAGUCUUGACUGCAUGCAUUGGAGGUGGAAAAAUUGCCCAAAGGCAUGGCACGGAAUGUAUUGCGGUAAAAGCCGUGAUGCUACCAUUGUGCUUGAGGCUGUAGCAUCUCAGGACACAUGGAUUUGGCAUGCAUUCUUUGGGUUGCCGGGAACACUCAAUAUAUCAAUAUCCUCAAUAGAUCUCCUUUGUUCAAAAGAUUAA
rnacentral:rRNA from 1 species